rnacentral:rRNA from 1 species
GAUGAACGCUAGCGGCAGGCCUAACACAUGCAAGUCAGGGGCAUCACGGAUUGCUUGCAAUCUGGUGGCGACCGGCGCACGGGUGCGUAACGCGUAUACAACCUACCUUUUGGAGGGGAAUAGCCCAGAGAAAUUUGGAUUAAUACCCCAUAGUAUAUAGGAAUCUCCUGAUUUUAUAUUAAACAUUUAUGGCCAUUAGAUGGGUAUGCGUCCUAUUAGCUAGUUGGUGUGGUAACGGCACACCAAGGCUACGAUAGGUAGGGGUCCUGAGAGGGAGAUCCCCACACUGGUACUGAGACACGGACCAGACUCCUACGGGAGGCAGCAGUGAGGAAUAUUGGACAAUGGGCGAGAGCCUGAUCCAGCCAUGCCGCGUGCAGGAAGACUGCCCUAUGGGUUAGUAAACUGUCUUUUACAGAGGAAGAACCCACCCCCACGUGUGGGGGUUUGACGGUACUCUGCGAAUAAGGAUCGGCUAACUCCGUG